CAGUAGCCGCGGUAAUACAGAGGGUGCGAGCGUUAAUCGGAUUUACUGGGCGUAAAGCGUGCGUAGGCGGCUUUUUAAGUCGGAUGUGAAAUCCCUGAGCUUAACUUAGGAAUUGCAUUCGAUACUGGGAAGCUAGAGUAUGGGAGAGGAUAGUGGAAUUUCCGGUGUAGCAGUGAAAUGCGUAGAGAUCGGAAGGAACAUCUGUGGCGAAGGCGACUAUCUGGGCCAACACUGACACUGAGGCACGAAAGCGUGGGGAGCAAACAGGAUCAGAUACCCCCGUAGUCCCUGUCUCUUAUAC
rnacentral:rRNA from 1 species